UACGUAGGGUGCAAGCGUUAAUCGGAAUACUGGGCGUAAAGCGUGCGCAGGCGGUUUUGUAAGUCUGUCGUGAAAGCCCCGGGCUCAACCUGGGAAUUGCGAUGGAGACUGCAAGGCUUGAAUCUGGCAGAGGGGGGUAGAAUUCCACGUGUAGCAGUGAAAUGCGUAGAGAUGUGGAGGAACACCGAUGGCGAAGGGCAGCCCCCUGGGUCAAGAUUGACGCUCAUGCACGAAAGCGUGGGGAGCAAACAGG
rnacentral:rRNA from 1 species